CGAGCGAGUCUGCCUUGAAGAUCGGAGUGCUUGCACUCUGUGAAACAAGAUACAGGCUAGCGGCGGACGGGUGAGUAACACGUGGGUAACCUGCCCAAGAGAUCGGGAUAACACCUGGAAACAGAUGCUAAUACCGGAUAACAACAGAUGAUGCCUAUCAACUGUUUAAAAGAUGGUUCUGCUAUCACUCUUGGAUGGACCUGCGGUGCAUUAGCUAGUUGGUAGGGUAACGGCCUACCAAGGCGAUGAUGCAUAGCCGAGUUGAGAGACUGAUCGGCCACAUUGGGACUGAGACACGGCCCAAACUCCUACGGGAGGCAGCAGUAGGGAAUCUUCCACAAUGGACGCAAGUCUGAUGGAGCAACGCCGCGUGAGUGAAGAAGGGUUUCGGCUCGUAAAGCUCUGUUGUUGGUGAAGAAGGACAGGGGUAGUAACUGACCUUUGUUUGACGGUAAUCAAUUAGAAAGUCACGGCUAACUACGUGCCAGCAGCCGCGGUAAUACGUAGGUGGCAAGCGUUGUCCGGAUUUAUUGGGCGUAAAGCGAGUGCAGGCGGCUCGAUAAGUCUGAUGUGAAAGCCUUCGGCUCAACCGGAGAAUUGCAUCAGAAACUGUCGAGCUUGAGUACAGAAGAGGAGAGUGGAACUCCAUGUGUAGCGGUGAAAUGCGUAGAUAUAUGGAAGAACACCGGUGGCGAAGGCGGCUCUCUGGUCUGUUACUGACGCUGAGGCUCGAAAGCAUGGGUAGCGAACAGGAUUAGAUACCCUGGUAGUCCAUGCCGUAAACGAUGAGUGCUAAGUNNUGGGAGGUCUCCGCCUCUCAGUGCUGCA
rnacentral:rRNA from 1 species